GCCUCGGUAGCAUUAAGUCAGGUAAAGGCACAGGACAUGACCUGAAGGACAGCUGGUUCAAAUCCAGUCUGAGGCU
rnacentral:tRNA from 2 species